rnacentral:rRNA from 1 species
AGUGAACGCUGGCGGUAGGCCUAACACAUGCAAGUCGAACGGCAGCACAGUAAGAGCUUGCUCUUACGGGUGGCGAGUGGUGGACGGGUGAGGAAUACAUCGGAAUCUACUUUUUCGUGGGGGAUAACGUAGGGAAACUUACGCUAAUACCGCAUACGACCUACGGGUGAAAGCAGGGGAUCUUCGGACCUUGCGCGAUUGAAUGAGCCGAUGUCGGAUUAGCUAGUUGGCGGGGUAAAGGCCCACCAAGGCGACGAUCCGUAGCUGGUCUGAGAGGAUGAUCAGCCACACUGGAACUGAGACACGGUCCAGACUCCUACGGGAGGCAGCAGUGGGGAAUAUUGGACAAUGGGCGCAAGCCUGAUCCAGCCAUACCGCGUGGGUGAAGAAGGCCUUCGGGUUGUAAAGCCCUUUUGUUGGGAAAGAAAAGCAGCAGGUUAAUACCCCGCUGUUCCGACGGUACCCAAAGAAUAAGCACCGGCUAACUUCGUG